rnacentral:rRNA from 2 species
UGCUUGCACUGAAUUGACGUUGGAUUCCCAGUGAGCGGCGGACGGGUGAGUAACACGUGGGCAACCUGCCCUGAAGCGGGGGAUAACAUCUGGAAACAGGUGCUAAUACCGCAUAACAACGAAAACCACAUGGUUUUCGUUUCAAAGAUGGUUUCGGCUAUCACUUCAGGAUGGGCCCGCGGUGCAUUAGCUAGUUGGUAAGGUAACGGCUUGCCAAGGCGAUGAUGCAUAGCCGAGUUGAGAGACUGAUCGGCCACAAUGGAACUGAGACACGGUCCAUACUCCUACGGGAGGCAGCAGUAGGGAAUCUUCCACAAUGGGCGCAAGCCUGAUGGAGCAACACCGCGUGAGUGAAGAAGGGUUUCGGCUCGUAAAGCUCUGUUGUUGGAGAAGAACGUGCGUGAGAGUAACUGUUCACGCAGUGACGGUAUCCAACCAGAAAGUCACGGNUAACUACGUGCCAGCAGCCGCGGNUAUACAA